rnacentral:misc_RNA from 1 species
CUGACUUGUAACUGGCUCCAAUCGGUGCCAGAGGUGGUACCCAUUAAAAGGAAAAAGAUGGGAUGAACCUCCAAUCUUUACCAGUAUAGUUCUGUACUCUCUUAUUUUGGCAAAGCAAAAACAAAAGAAAACAGAGUCAUCAACAUCUUAAAAGAAGCUGUAAAUUAGUAAUGGGUGCCCUCAUUCCAUUUCAUCUAAAUGUCCAAACAGUUCUUUCCAGUGAGAUGAUGCUUCUUCUGGCGUCCGAAAUGUCCAAAUGUGAGGCUUGGCUUUCUCAUGAGUGUCUAAAAUUUCCUGAAUUUGGGAAGACUUUUUGGUCUUGAGGAUUAAACAAUCUACCAGAGCACUCCAUUUAGCAGAACAAUUAUCAAGAACUCCUAGCCUAUAAUACUGCUGCA